rnacentral:rRNA from 1 species
UCGCUCCUACCGAUUGAGUGAUCCGGUGAAUGAUUCGGACAAGCGCAUCGUUCAGAUUCUGAGCAGUGUGUUUGGAAGUUUAGUGAACCUUAUCACUUAGAGGAAGGAG